AGCGGUAAGGCCCUUCGGGGUACACGAGCGGCGAACGGGUGAGUAACACGUGAGCAACCUGCCCCUGACUCUGGGAUAAGCGGUGGAAACGCCGUCUAAUACCGGAUACGACCCGCCACCUCAUGGUGGAGGGUGGAAAGUUUUUCGGUCAGGGAUGGGCUCGCGGCCUAUCAGCUUGUUGGUGGGGUAACGGCCUACCAAGGCGAUUACGGGUAGCCGGCCUGAGAGGGCGACCGGCCACACUGGGACUGAGACACGGCCCAGACUCCUGCGGGAGGCAGCAGUGGGGAAUAUUGCGCAAUGGGCGAAAGCCUGACGCAGCGACGCCGCGUGGGGGAUGACGGCCUUCGGGUUGUAAACCUCUUUUACCACCAACGCAGGCUUCCAGUUCUCUGGAGGUUGACGGUAGGUGGGGAAUAAGGACCGGCUAACUACGUGCCAGCAGCCGCGGUAAUACGUAGGGUCCGAGCGUUGUCCGGAAUUAUUGGGCGUAAAGAGCUCGUAGGCGGCGUGUCGCGUCUGCUGUGAAAGACCGGGGCUUAACUCCGGUUCUGCAGUGGAUACGGGCAUGCUAGAGGUAGGUAGGGGAGACUGGAAUUCCUGGUGUAGCGGUGAAAUGCGCAGAUAUCAGGAGGAACACCGGUGGCGAAGGCGGGUCUCUGGGCCUUACCUGACGCUGAGGAGCGAAAGCAUGGGGAGCGAACAGGAUUAGAUACCCUGGUAGUCCAUGCCGUAA
rnacentral:rRNA from 1 species